rnacentral:rRNA from 1 species
AGUGAACGCUGGCGGUAGGCCUAACACAUGCCAGUCGAACGGCAGCACAGUAAGAGCUUGCUCUUACGGGUGGCGAGUGGCGGACGGGUGAGGAAUACAUCGGAAUCUACUUUUUCGUGGGGGAUAACGUAGGGAAACUUACGCUAAUACCGCAUACGACCUACGGGUGAAAGCAGGGGAUCUUCGGACCUUGCGCGAUUGAAUGAGCCGAUGUCGGAUUAGCUAGUUGGCGGGGUAAAGGCCCACCAAGGCGACGAUCCGUAGCUGGUCAGAGAGGAUGAUCAGCCACACUGGAACUGAGACACGGUCCAGACUCCUACGGGAGGCAGCAGUGGGGAAUAUUGGACAAUGGGCGCAAGCCUGAUCCAGCCAUACCGCGUGGGUGAAGAAGGCCUUCGGGUUGUAAAGCCCUUUUGUUGGGAAAGAAAAGCAGCAGGUUAAUACCCCGCUGUUCUGACGGUACCCAAAGAAUAAGCACCGGCUAACUUCGCG